rnacentral:lncRNA from 1 species
GUUAAAUGACCCAUGCCGGAGCUGGGGAAUAAAGCUAUAUGAGGUGAUUGGGUCUUGCUGCCGGAAUCUGCCAUAUUGUAGUCUGAAGUAGUUCUCUGAUGAGUGAUGACUGGUGAGGUAAAGGUUGGUUUAAAUGAAUUUUGUAGAAAUGAAGUGAAGGUUGGUAGGACUAAUUGGUGGUUCAGAACAUUACAAGUGAAUUGUUGGUAGGACUAAUAGGUGGUUCAGAUCAAAGUUGACGAUCUCGAUUUUGGGCCGUUAACGAUUGAGCAAUUAUUUUGUGCUGACACUUGAAUAUUCGUAAAUAUCGAUAUCCAAUUUCUGGAAGAACGGAUUUAUUCGUGGAUUUUUCACGAAUAUCAGAGUUAUUUUCGUCUAUGGUUCAGAUUAUAUUCAAGUGUGUAUGGUACCAUUGUUUGAUAUCAUUGUGGUUGUGAGCUGUUAAGACUUGAGAGUUUUAAGCAAAAUUAAAGAUGAUGGUUAAGACCAAUUAAGAGUAAUCCAGCCGAAGAUGACCAGUGGAAGAACUCGGCUUGAUUUGCAGCAGGCCAGGAGAGAUGCCUUGUUUCAAUUUAACGUUUCAAUCCAAUGAACAGGUUAGCUUGUUCGUUCUGUUUCACUUGUUCUGGGAUAUUAUCAGAAUCCAGAGGCUGGAAAUCAAACUCGCAAUUUGACCCACCAUUUUAGUUUGCCAAAAACGUCAGUGGAGAUGGCUGCCAUCCUUGAAUUCCAGGAUUCUGUUCCUUGUAAAAUUCGAGCAAAGCGGGGUUGUGCUACUCACCCACGAAGUAUCGCAGAGAGGGUAACUACUAUCUAUAUCCUGAUGUGUUGAUCUCUUCAUUUCAUAAAGUUACAUUGUUUAGAAGUUUACAAUAUUGGUGAAGAGUUUGUUUAGGUUUGUCAGUUCUUUAUUUCAAUUUUUUUUUUCAGUAGCACUUGUUCCAAACAUGGACAAGGUAAGGCUAAUUGGCUUUCUUUGUUUGUUUUCUCUUUCCUUGCUUGUCAAAUAUCUGUGGAUUUUAAGCUUUUUUUAUUAGCAGCAAACAAACACCGCAGACAUGUUAGAUUUGGCUGUGGAGUACAUUAAAGAGCUCCAAAAACAGGUCAAGGUAACACAUUUACAUACAUUAGCCAGGGUUAUUUUAGAAAGCUACCACAUUUGUGUCUUUUCUAUGGUAUAAUAGUUAUAGACGCAACAGCUAAUUCAGUCGAGUCUGCAACAGCUAAUUUAGUCGAGUCUGUUGAUUAAUCAAAACGAAUUUUGUAUGGUAUAAUAGUUAUAGACGCAACAGCUAAUUCAGUCGAGUCUGCACAUAUCAAAUACCAUAUUUCUAAGCAAGAUUAUUUUUGAUCUCGUUGUCUGCACAAUGAUCUGUUUGGUGUUGAGAACAAUUCUGGAUCACAUCUGACAUGUGAAAAAAAUUGUGUUUUGAUGAGGUAUACAUUAACCAAUGUAGGAUGAUCUCGAACGAAAAGGACGUGUAUUAAUUAUUUGAGGUUUAACUGUUUAAGCACCAAUGUGGAGAUCUAGCAAGGAUGCAGUAGCACUUUUGGAUUGAUCCUUAGCAAGGAUCAUCACUGAUUAUAUAUGUGUGGUUAUUUAUUUUUAUUGUUUCCAUGUUGCCUAUUCUGCUUACACUUUGUAAUAUUUUUAAUCUCUUUUCUUCGAAUGCCAGUAUUCUACAGUGUGGAGGGGCAGGACUCUAUUGAGAAUAACUGUAUAAGAUUCAGUUCAUGAAUCCUUAGAGAGGUUUAUUACAUUUGGAGGGAGAGGAACCAAUGACGAUUUCAGCAAAAGAUCAUACCAGCUGAAGUAUUAAGAGAUAAAACUAUCAGAGAAACAAAGGCCUAUAUUCAGAACAAAUUCGAGGAGGUGCAGGACUCUAUUGAGAAUAAAGUAUUGAUGGAGAGGCAAAGUACAAAAAGAAACUCAUCAAGACAUGUAAAAUGGUACUCAUCAACUCAAGGGAUUGUCAAACUUAACUCUGAUGGGGUUGUUCACUGAUUCAGGUGCAGGGUAUAGAGGUUUGUUGAGAGACAGUGACGGGAAUGUGAUUACAGCCUACAUUGGGAGUUCGAGCAUAAAGGAAAUCAUAUUCCAGCCAGGAGAUCAAAGCUAUUGCUGAAGGUAUGCAACUGGCGAGGAAUCUACAGACUGAUAACAAUUUCUCUCUAAGGAUUUGUGUCAUUAACAAUAGCAAUCAAAACAGACAAAAAAUAACCCAAAAAAUCAAAACAAAAAAAACAAACACAAAUUAAGUUUAUCCAUUCUUAAUCUCUUCAAGAACAACAAUUAAAGGACAUACCUUUUGAGUGACUGAAGGAAGAUGUUAAGGUCUCGGGAAGAUUAAGAUUUCGUUUAAGGUUAGAGAGGCGAAGAGUUAAGAAAGAAAGGAUAGUAAAGUUUAAUCAUGACCAUGGGGAUGGGGAUGAAGAUUGGGGUUUUAAUCUUAGUCACACUAAUUAUUAAUCCUAAUCACACUAAUUUAAUCUUAAUCACACUAAAUAUUAAUCCUAGUCAUAGAAAUUUAAUCCUAGUCAUAGAAAUUUAAUCCUAGUCAUAGAAAUUAGUCCUAGUCAAAUUAUGCACCAUUUGUAGAUAUGUAGACAUUCACUGGCAUAUCAAAAGGGAAGAUGGAGAUUUAUACUACAUUUUACAACUAACCUGAAUCAUAAACUAUAUAACACCAAUAUGGCAUGAGUUUCUACUAUAACUCUGCUACAGCCCUGUAACUCUAGGAAACAUCUGCGACAUUCAAACUUAACAUGGGACCUUACAUUGACGUAACAUCUAUGUUAUCACAUUGUAUGACAUUAUGCCGUGACUCUAGACAGUUAAAACCUAAACCCAGAAUUCUAGAACAUGUAGUCCUAACAUAGAAAUAAUACCACUAACUUGUAGCUAAUGUCUACCUUUAACAAAAAAUGUUCAUCUUAAUAUUCUUUGCUGCAUUUUCAAACAUUGUUUAUUAACUUGCUUUCCAUUUAAGCCCCACUUAAUCUUUUUGUUAUAUGACUUAUAUCACUUGAACCAUAUAGGUUGCACAUAUAUUUCAUCCAAUCUCUGUAUUUCAGGCUGAUAUAACCAAAAAAGGCAAAGCAUCUCUACUCUCUAUUGUUUUGGGACCCCAGAGGCUACAGCAUCACAGUCAAUCUCAAGACCUGGUAAUGCAGACAACUAAAAUCACCAAGUACUAAAAGGAAUAAAAAACGUGAAUCAACCAUUACACUGCCAAUGUUUUCAAGCAGUUGAUGACAACUUCAACAAAUAGUAGCAGAUGUUUAAAGUUGAAGUCCAAAGUUGUAGUACAGUAACCAAAUGUACCAGGACAACGCAUCAAUAACAUAAUGAGUCAUGCAUCAAAUGGAUCAAAGUACCAUUUGGAAAGGUCGGAGAAAACUUGACCAAAUUUUUGAUUCAGUAAAUGAAACAGUGGAAUGAAAUGUGAUGACUGUAACAUGGAAGUUUUGAUUAGAAAGGGUAGUGGCAAGUCGAAGAAAAGGCGUUAAAUGACCCAUGCCGGAGCUGGGGAAUAAAGCUAUAUGAGGUGAUUGGGUCUUGCUGCCGGAAUCUGCCAUAUUGUAGUCUGAAGUAGUUCUCUGAUGAGUGAUGACUGGUGAGGUAAAGGUUGGUUUAAAUGAAUUUUGUAGAAAUGAAGUGAAGGUUGGUAGGACUAAUUGGUGGUUCAGAACAUUACAAGUGAAUUGUUGGUAGGACUAAUAGGUGGUUCAGAUCAAAGUUGACGAUCUCGAUUUUGGGCCGUUAACGAUUGAGCAAUUAUUUUGUGCUGACACUUGAAUAUUCGUAAAUAUCGAUAUCCAAUUUCUGGAAGAACGGAUUUAUUCGUGGAUUUUUCACGAAUAUCAGAGUUAUUUUCGUCUAUGGUUCAGAUUAUAUUCAAGUGUGUAUGGUACCCUUGUUUGAUAUCAUUGUGAUUGUGAGCUCUUAAGACUUGAGAGUUUUAAGCAAAAUUAAAGAUGAUGGUUAAGACCAAUUAAGAGUAAUCCAGCCG